GGUGUUCAGUUGGAGCUCUUGUAUAUUCUUUUUUGCCUUAUCAUUAUCUAGGAUUUUUUUAUCAUGCUCACUCUGUUUUCCAUGUCUGAAGUUCGAAUACAUUUUGAUAUACUUUAAGACAGCGUACCAAGUCAUAGCUGACACCAAACAUUUUUCAAACAGGAUUAGUUCGGAUGUAUAGACUUCUUGUUGUUUUCCAGAGAAGACAUUGUGAGUUUCUUCUGUAUUUAUUUCUGUAUGGAUAAAAUAUCUUUUCUAGUUUUGAAUGUGAAGCAGUUUCUUACUUAAGUCCUUGCUGCCUCACUUGGGACUUCUAUGGAAAGAGGAGAAAUUGCUGGAUAGCAAGCACAAACCAUAGUAUAGUCACCAACGGAUAUAGGGUAUAUAUAAAUAUUUGAGAAAGAAGAGAAUAAUAGAUGUAACGAGUAAUUGAAGCGAGUACAUUUAUAAUGAAAAUUGUGUAAUAAUUUAUUUAUGGGUUCCAUUUUUCACCUCAGUUGCAGGUUAAAUUUCAUCGGCAAUCUUCACCAUCUUCUUUCCAACAUUAUCACCCUUAAACAGUCCAACAAAGGCAGAAGGGAUGCUCAGGAUACCAUCUGAGAUGUCC
rnacentral:lncRNA from 1 species